GACGAACGCUGGCGGCGUGCUUAACACAUGCAAGUCGAGCGGUAAGGCCCUUUCGGGGGUACACGAGCGGCGAACGGGUGAGUAACACGUGGGUGACCUGCCCUUAGCUCUGGGAUAAGCCUGGGGAAACUGGGUCUAAUACCGGAUAUGACUCCAUGACGCAUGUUGUGGGGUGGAAAGCCUUGUGCGGCUAGGGAUGGGCCUGCGGCCUAUCAGCUUGUUGGUGGGGUGAUGGCCUACCAAGGCGACGACGGGUAGCCGGCCUGAGAGGGCGACCGGCCACACUGGGACUGAGACACGGCCCAGACUCCUACGGGAGGCAGCAGUGGGGAAUCUUGCGCAAUGGGCGAAAGCCUGACGCAGCGACGCCGCGUGGGGAUGACGGCCUCGG
rnacentral:rRNA from 1 species